GAAAGAUCUGGAAAGAAUAGGUCUUAAACCUUGGUAUAAGAAAGAAGGAAAUUGUCAACCUUUCCUUUCUUUUCCUAUGAUUUGCUAACUAGGGAGGAAAAAGUAAUUAAAACAUUUUAUUGAAAAGAGAGAGAAUUUGAGGAGUUCAUUCUUAAAGUACGAUUUGGAUAAUCAUUUUAAGGAAUAAAAAAUCAAUGAACACUUUUCCUUCCUACCCUUAUUCCACUAAUUUCCAAACAGUAAAAUCAGGAGUG
rnacentral:misc_RNA from 1 species